GAUAUGUAAUUGGUGCCAAUUUCUUGUCUUUUAAUCGUUCGAUGGUUUCCUUGUCUUCGCGCAAAUCUAAUUUAGUCCCUACUAAAAUGAUCGGAGUAGCUGGACAAUGAUGACGCACCUCUGGAUACCACUUAGCACGAACAUUUUCAAAACUGGCAGGGUUGACCAAAGAAAAACAAAUCAAAAAGACAUCUGUUUGAGGGUACGAUAAUGGUCUCAGUCUGUCGUAAUCUUCUUGGCCUGCCGUAUCCCAUAAACCAAGAUUGAUCGGUUUGCCAUCCACCAUAACGUUCGCAGAAUAAUUGUCAAACACAGUUGGAAUAUAUUCCCCGGGGAAGGCAUUGGUAGUGUAGCUUAUGAGAAGGCAUGUUUUACCUACGGCUCUGUAGAAAUUAUAUUCAAUUAUAGAAAAUUAAAUAGAUCGUAUAAAUCUAGAAUAGUAUAAUCUUUAACGGAAAAAGGUUAAUUACAGGUUAAACAAAAGUAAAAAGUUUUGAAUGUAUCAAAGAAAGUUGAUAAUGCUGUGAAACUUACAAGUAAACUUGAACAUGGGAGAAAGAGGGAGGGGAGAAAAGAGAUAAUGAAAGUGGAGGAAAAAGAUCGAGGAAAUGAAUUAUAUAGAAUUGAACGAGAAUUUCAAAAUAAACCAUUCGGUUUUUUCCUUAAUAUUGCAAAGUUGACGAAGAAAUUGAUAAAAAUCCAUUUAAAAGAAUAACGGGUGUGGUGCCUGUUUUGAAAUAGUGUUCUUGAUCAGGAAAAACCAAUCAUCAGAUCUCUAGAUCGUAGUGUGGAUCGAAAAUAGGAGAAGACAAACAAUUGAGAAACGUUAUAAUAAAUUUGAAAAUACUCACCCGUCGCCUACAACAACGCACUUAAUGGCUUGCAUCCUGAAGGUUGGGAACCGUUCACAAGUAGAAAUAUCCACGUAAAUUCGCAGGAAGGGGGCUAGUUCGAUUCGACAGAGCACGAAAGAUUAAGAGGGACAGAGAAGGACUUGAAGUGUCGUGAAACAAAGAGAGAGAACGCAUAGAGAAUGAGUACAAGAGAGAUAGAUAAAUGGUGUCAAACGUAAGGUAGAAGAAGAUCAUAGAACGAAAGAAAGGAUAGAUGGGAAAGAUCGAGAGGAAGGAAAUCUAAAUAACGAGAAGGAAAUUAUCCACGUGAAAAUGUAUAGUAAUUAAUUGAUCAACAUCGGUAGGAUUCAAUUCCCUCAUGGUUAUAAUCUUGGCUACAUUGAAAGGACGCACUUGUAUUUGAUGCUCCAAUACUGCUGCUGGGAAUUUUUCAAAGAAUAAUUCAUUUGCAGCCAUGUCAAGAGUUGGUAUUACUUCUUGAGGAUAAGAAACUAAUUGUUGAUAAAUAUGCCGAUCAAAAGACUUCACAUGAGCACAGUUAACAUUUAAAUAUGGUUCUUCUAAGUUCAUCAUUUUCAGCAUCUGGAUCAAUAAAUUGUUGAAAGAACAAUUUGAAUUGCUCCUUGCAUUGAUUAAUAACUACAUUUGUUCCCCAUACAACCAAAUGAGGCCCAGCUGUAUCACUUUCUGAUGUUCCUGGGACAUUUGGAACUUCCGGAAUCUAUUACAAUAAAUAAUUAUUCGUGUCAUGCGAAAUAUUUUUCUGUUCUUGUAAUGGAAACUGACGUAAACGUUUAUCUGUAUUAAUAUCAGGCCUAUGUCGAAUCGGAGUACCUCGAAUUCCACUCCUUGGUGUACGAAUCGAUCCUAAAGAACUUGGAGUACCAUAAUUUACUGGUGAUGACAAUUGCAAACCAGUUUCCGAUCCAAUAAUUUGUCCUGAGUGAUCUGUCAGACGAUCACCAGAACCAGCAGCACUAUCAUGUUCCGAGGAAGCAACAAUUGUAGCAGUUCGAUUUUCAGCAUCUGCAUUUCGUUGUGUGCCAGUGGUACCCCAUCGUAAAGGAGUUUCCACAUUAUUUUCGACUCCACUGCGAAUUGCAGCACCUAAUAUUCAAAGUACACAUCACAAAAAUUUCGAUUAAGGAAGUACAAUAGAAUCACUAUGACAAUAACCUUUAGGUAAAAUACUUACGCGGCGUGCCAAAAACAGAAGGAGAUCUAGAACCCUGAGCUUGUCUUCUAGGAGUUCUACUUGGACUAUUAUUUGUCCCUGAUGAUCUAGGACUAGACAUUAUUUCUUUCAAAAUUCCAACCUUUCUGUAGUAUUUAAAAGCAUCCACAAGUCACUUUCCCGCGUUUCUGAUCUUAUUCAAUAAUAAAGAAUGGUAUCAAACAGCAUCAAAGUUCAAAUUUAGCGACAUCUACUGUUUAUUUAUGUUAAAGAUAGACCACGGAUUUCAGAUAUGUACAGACGUACAUACAAUGUAUUUUUCCGUCUACCGUUCUGAAAUAUCGACACUGUCAAAAAUGGCCCGAUGCACAGCGGACUCUACCUGAAUCGAACGGUCGACUACUGAACUAUGUAAGACUGCAGUAUGAAAACACUGUGCGCUUGGAAGAUAAUUUCUACAGCGUUACCAACUCUAAAAAUUACGUUGUUGUCGAGCCUGGAGAGGUAGGUUUGUACAUACCCUACGAAAUUUGUCGGGGCUGACAACGAAAGGGUCCGAGCGAUUCGUUUCCUCAAUCGGCACGCCUUUUGAGAUCGUCAAAAUUCAAAUACUAUGUCCUAACCAGAAUCAAAAUAUGAAUCAUUAAUUAUUCCAUUAAAUAAUCACGUAUAGACAUACUUGUUCACUCAUUUAUAAAUAAGCAUUAUAUAUGACCGCAAUUGUCGAACAAUUAUCGAGCCAAGAAAUAAAGGGCGUGAAUUAAGGAAGAAGUUCUUGAUUAUAAAACAAAAGAAAUCAUUUUAAAAUGUUUAUGGAACGAUACUUCAUGUUAUAUUAUAUUACGCAUAAAUUUCUUAAUUUGCAGAUAAAUAAUAAAUAUAAAUGAAUCAAAAUUGCAGAUUUGCUGUUCAUUAAUAUAAUCUGUGUUAUACAAGCAUGAAAAAAAUUCGAAUGUUCAUUUAUUAAAAUUAUAUGCACAAAUUAUCUUUCGUAUAUAUUUGUUAUAAUUUUUACAUACAGUAUUCAUUAUAAUUUUCAAUAUAUUAUUUCUUGCGUGAAAGAUCUUCUGUUCAAUUAAAUACAACUUAGCCAUGCAUAUUACAAAACAGUUAUAAAUUUGAAUAAAUAGUCUUGAACUAAAAUGUAUACAAAGAAAAUUGCAAUUGCAGAUAUUCCAGAAAAUAUCCAAAAUAUAGCAGCCAUAGAUACUACGUUAUAAAAUUUAGUUACAAUGAAAGCCAAUAGCCAAUUUAAAAGACCAGCACUGCUCGCAGCUACACCUUUCACUUCAGGUGCAAAAAUUUCACCUAACAUCAUCCAAGGAAGCGGACCGAAACCGAGAGAAAACAUAAUAAUAAAUAUGCAUACAGAUAGUAGAGGUAACCAGAUAUUUCUGCUGUGUACAUUGGUGCAGCUACACAAAAGGCACCAGAUGCUGCACCAGUAAUAAAUCUUCCAACACAAAACAUAGCUACGGAAUAGGAUAAAAUGAUAAGUAGCCAACCUACAGUGAAGGGAACCACCAUUAACAACAUUGAAUUCUUUCUUCCAAUUAAAUCGAAAUUUUAAAGCCAUAUAGAUCUUGUAAAUCCUGUCCAUUAGUACCAGCCGAAGAAGUCCACCCUAACACCAUUCCCGCUGCUAAGGCUCCCAAAGUUGCAGACAAACAGGCAAUAUAUUGAGGUAAUCUUUUCGCUGGCUCAAAUUGGUUUUCAACCAAAACAUGCUGCGAAAUUCCGAGGUUUCCGUUCUUCAUGUUGUUGAAAUUAUUUCGCUGUAGAACCUGAAAGUAGUUACAUUCAAUUUAGUUGAAACCAUGACUUCCCUUGGAAAACAAAUCUUAUUUCAAGCCAAUAAUAUGGCUUCAAAGAAUAGUAAUUGUAAAAGAAAUAAUAAAAAUAAUCUGUUUUUCUUUGUUUGAAUUUAAAUUGCUUUUAAUAUUGAAACUUUAUAAACUAAAUUCCUACAUAUAUCGCAUCUGACAACAAAUACUAUGCUUUACGAAUAUUCUUUUAACUCGUUUUGUACAAUACAUAAACGUUUGUUAGUUUUGAUGAAUGAUUUAAUAUUUGGAUUUCAUUUUAUUGUUGUUAUUACGUACCGUGUUAUGUCACUUUAUUAUGAUAAGGUGAUGUAAAUGUAUCCCGUUAUAUCCCAGAGAAUAUCCGUGUCUUGGUCCGGUUAUGCUUUAAGAAAUACAAAACUUAAAGCACGAAAUGUAGUCACUAUCUUGACAAAUAUUCGUUUCUUAUCAACGAUAUGGCUGGAUACAGAUUAAUCUUGAUUUAAUCGACGUAACUGUUUAUUGCCCGGCUUUUAAUCCUUGUCAUAAAUUAGUGACCACACAAAUUGCCUCCACUUAAGCGAACUUAGCGAAUCCGAAUAAUU